rnacentral:lncRNA from 1 species
CACAGCCAACUUCAGGAGGGACUGACUUUUAUUUUCUUUACUUAGAGAACAAUGUGGAACAUCAUUGGAUCGGGACUUCCAGCUGCUCUGUUGCAGUGCCUGUACCUUUUCUUUACGUUUCCUCUGAAAGAAAACAGUGAUGGAGAGACAAAUGAAGGUGAAACUCAGGAGAUGCUUGUUGAGAUAAUGCUUAAAAUGUACAGAGAGGAACAAGGUGUAGAGGAACUUUUGGCAGCUGAUAAGCUUCAGUCAUUAAUUAUAGCAGCUGCUUCCCUCUGGGACCAAUGUAGCCAUCCAUGGAAAGUACCAACAGGCCGUGUGCUGCGAACAAUCUCAAAGACUCA